ensembl:lncRNA
AGUGAACAGCUAUUCACCUGCUCAGCAGUCUCAAGCCCAGUUAGCUGCCCAGCAGCCACCGUCAGCUCAGUUAGCUGCCCAGCAGCCACCGUCAGCUCAGUUAGCUGCCCAACAGCCACCGUCAGCUCAGUUAGCUGCCCAGCAGCCACCGUCAGCUCAGUUAGCUGCCCUGCAGCUCACUCGCUCUCAGCUAGCCACCCAGCUGCUACUUUCUGCUCAGUCACCAGUAUCAGCAGCUCACUCGCUCUCAGCUCUGUCACCAGAGUCAGCUGCUCACUCUCUUUCAGCUCAGUCUCCAGUGUAACUUUCAAUUCAGUCUCCAGGGCCUCCAGUGUCACUUUCAGUUCAGUCUCCUGUGCCUCCAGUGUCACUUUCAGUUCAGUCUCCAGUGCCUCCAGUGUCACUUUCAGUUCAGUCUCCAGUGCCUCCAGUGUCACUUUCAGUUCAGUCUCCAGUGCCUCCAGUGUCACCUGUAGUUCAGUCUCCUGUGCCUCCGGUGUCACCUGUAGUUCAGGCUCCAGUGCCCCCGGUGUCACCAGUAGUUCAGGCUCCAGUGCCCCCGGUGUCACCAGUAGUUCAGUCUCCAGUGCCUCCUGUGUCACCUGUAGUUCAGGCUCCAGUGCCCCGGUGUCACCUGUAGUUCAGGCUCCAGUGCCCCUGGUGUCACCUGUAGUUCAGGCUCCAGUGCCUCCAGUGUCACCCGUAGCUCAGGCUCCAGUGUCACCCGUAGCUCACUCGCUCUCCGCUCAGUCUCCAGUGCCUCCUGUGUCACUUUCAGCUCAGUCUCCAGUGCCUCCUGUGUCACCAGAUUUACUCAGUCACUCCAUGCAGGAAGAUAAUCUAGUGUCUACUUUGGGUGUUUCUCAAGGUCUAGCUACUGUUGGCUUAGUUUUCCACUCCAGGGCUUCCCCAGAGGCUAGGUCUCAGUCCCCAGCUGAUUCUGGACCCCUGAAGUUUAAGCAGCCCCCUGAGAACUGCACCAUGUCAGCGUUGCCUGGGCAGAUCCAGUGCUCAGUGCAGCGCCAGUUGCCUUUAUGUCAGCCAGUGGUCUCCAUGCCUGCUGGCUUUGUGAUGGCUUCUGCCGGAGGGUCCGUGGGACUGCUCCGGCCUUCGUCUCGUGUCUCCGCUGGAGGGUCCGAGGGACCGCUCCGGCCUUCGUCUCAUGUCUGGCCUUCGUCUCGUGUCUCCGCUGGAGGGUCCGAGGGACCGCUCCGGCCUUCGUCUCGUGUCUGGCCUUCGUCUUGUGUCUGGCCUUCGUCUCGUGUCUCCGCUGGAGGGUCCGAUGGACCACUCUGGCCUUCGUCUCCUGUCUCAGCUGGAGGGUCCGAGGGGCCCGUCCAGCUUGCAGCGCCACCGUCUCCGGCUUCCACGCCUCCGGCUUCCACGCCUCCUGUUAAUAAAUACUCACCUGCACCAGAGCUGCCGCAUUUUGGGUCCUUUCUACAAACUCCACACGUCUGCCACACCGGACGUGACAAGUUUAGAGACAAUAACCCUGAGGUUUGUGGGGAUCUCCAUUUCUUGGAGUUGACUGAUGUCUUGCAUUGCAUUGUUACAACCGGUGAGAAACAGUGA